ACAGCAUCUGCGGUGCGACUCUUGAACUUGCUGUAAAGUAAAACUGCUUCCCGGGCGUGUAGGAGCUGGAGAAUGAAUGGAUUUGUCCUGUGUGCUUCUGUAUAUUUGCCUAGUAGCCGACUGACUUCUGAAGGCGGUUUUCACAGCGGUUUGGCUUUACGUGCCUUUACAUAGCCUUACAUACGUAUAAAUUGUUCCUCUGGCCAUUGCACCUCCUGUUGAUUCAUUGAACAAUUUGUGGGAUGCCUUACUGUAUGUCAGUCACUUCCCUGUAUGAGGAAGAAAAAGAUGAAGCCUAUUCUUGUUCCUGGAAACAUUCGCAGCCCCAUAGAGGAAACAGAAUUGCCAUACAGUAUGACGAAUGCUAAGAAUAACACAAGGGCAUCGAAACCAACUCUAGAGUGAUAUGGGUAGUGGCAUUAUUCCAGUUGGAGAUAUAAAGCAGAGAACCAUCAUUCUCAAAACUGUUCUGAGAGUCAGCAUGUCACCUCUUUCACUCCUCAAGCCUUCAGAAUUCCAAUGCUAAACAUUUCUCUGGCAUCUAAGGAACAAAACGUUCAGGAUAGAAAGGCUGUGAUACUACCCUGCUAGUAUCAAUCCACAUGCACCAGGUCCUGCUGAAGUGUUAAAUAGGUUGAUACAGGGAUGGAAUAAAACAAUAAAGUGUCUGAGAGAACUUCUGAGGAAAUAAUACUGUGCACCGCUUCUAGGGAAGGUGGCCCCUAGCUCUGCAUGACUAACAGCAGCCAUCACAGACACCAUGGCACAAGCAGCCCAAAUACUCAGGGAGACCCCACAUUGAGUGAGUUGUAUUUUAAUGCCCCUUCAGGAGAAACAAAUAUGCCUGUACCUAUUUUGAUACUGAAUAACAAAUUUGUUCCAUGGAAAUGUCCUAUUACUCAUUG
rnacentral:lncRNA from 1 species